UACGAAGGGGGCUAGCGUUGUUCGGAAUUACUGGGCGUAAAGCGCGUGUAGGCGGGUCCUUAAGUCAGGGGUGAAAUGCCAAGGCUCAACCUUGGAACUGCCUUUGAUACUGGGGAUCUUGAGUCCGGGAGAGGUGAGUGGAACUGCGAGUGUAGAGGUGAAAUUCGUAGAUAUUCGCAAGAACACCAGUGGCGAAGGCGGCUCACUGGCCCGGAACUGACGCUGAGACGCGAAAGCGUGGGGAGCGAACAGG
rnacentral:rRNA from 1 species